rnacentral:rRNA from 1 species
UACGUAGGUGGCAAGCGUUGUCCGGAUUUACUGGGCGUAAAGAGCGCGCAGGCGGUUGAUUAAGUCGAAUGUGAAAGCCCCCGGCUCAACUGGGGAGGGUCAUUCGAUACUGAUCGACUUGAAGGCAGGAGAGGGUAGUGGAAUUCCCGGUGUAGUGGUGAAAUGCGUAGAUAUCGGGAGGAACACCAGUGGCGAAGGCGGCCGCCUGGGCCUUUUCUGACGCUGAGCCGCGAAAGCGUGGGGAGCGAGCCGG